GAUGAAGAACGCAGCGAAAUGCGAUAAGUAAUGUGAAUUCAGAAUUCAGUGAAUCAUCGAAUCUUUGAACGCACAUUGCGCCCGCCAGUAUUCUGGCGGGCAUGCCUGUUCGAGCGUCAUUACAACCCUCAGGCCCCCGGGCCUGGCGUUGGGGAUCGGCGGAGCCCCCCGUGGGCACACGCCGUCCCCCAAAUACAGUGGCGGUCCCGCCGCAGCUUCCAUCGCGUAGUAGCUAACACCUCGCGACUGGAGAGCGGCGCGGCCACGCCGUAAAACACCCAACUCUUCUGAAGUUGACCUCGAAUCAGGUAGGAAUACCCGCUGAACUUAAGCAUAUCAAUAAGCGGAGGA
rnacentral:misc_RNA from 1 species